AUUGGGUGUGGUGAUGUGUGCCUGUAGUCUUAGCUACUUGGGAGGUUGAGGUAGGAGGAUCACUUGAGCCCAGGAGUUUGAGGCUGCAGUGAACUAUAAUCAUGCCACUGCACUCCAGCCUGGGCAACAGAGUGAGACCCCAUCUCUA
ensembl:misc_RNA Metazoa_SRP Metazoan signal recognition particle RNA